rnacentral:pre_miRNA from 1 species
CGCCUUUAUUGCCAUAAGCGAGGUAUAGAGUUCCUACGUUCUAUUCAAAAACUCGUAGGAACUUAAUACCGUGCUCUUGGAGGGCUGCA